CAUCAGUAGUACAGGUGUGUAUCAAAACUAUGCCAAUUACUGUCACAAGUGACAAAGACACUGACCAAUUCAAAAUGGGGAGCCACAGCAGCCACCUUAAGAACAACCUCCCUAGCCCUGUGCUGUUCCUCUACAAAACUUGCCUGUCCUGUAUGGGAAAGAUCAGCUGAUGCCAAGAAAUUUGACCCAGCUCCUGCCGUCUAAUCACUGGAUCCCUGAAACCCACCAACAAAAACAACCUAACCCUACUUGCUGGUAUUGGCUCACAUUGAGAUGAUAUAAGCCACAAAAGACAAACGCCACCUCGAUCCUCCCUGGAAUAACUCCAAGAAUGAACCACCUCCAGUUGACAUGGGAAUUCCACCUGCGGAAAAACUCCCUGCUGCCUCAGACGCAGCAUGGGCCCAGUGGAAAACACUGAACUGUCUUAGAACAAGAACUGGAUGACCCAGGGUUGCUCUGAACAGAUGGGAUUACAAGACUGGACCAACCUGCUGUGACUGUGGAGAAGCAGACCACCAUGGAGCACUCUCUCAUCUGCCCUCUACUAUCCAGUCCUUGUAACCAAAGAGACCUUGCAGAGUUUAAUGCACAUGCAAAGAUCUGUGUCAAGAAAUAGGAUACUGUAAUGUGACUAACGUCGUUUAUAUGAAACAAGAAGUCUGACACAAGCAGAAAAUGUGAGAAAUGUUUCAUAUUCGAUCUUGGAAUACUCUUAUGCAACAGACUGAACAUAGAAUUCCCUGUGUUCCAUUCAUGCAAGAUCAACCCCUGAAGGACCAAGGUCCAGAGACUGGGAAACAACAUUGGUGUAAAAGCACUGCCUUUAUAACUGUCUGUACUUUUUAUUAUUCCCCAUCAAUGUUUCACAGUGCCCUCUUUAUCAAAGCAUAUAUUGGUAGUUUUGUUGUGUUUUAUUUGUCUGCCAUUUGUUGCCAAACAUGUUGUUUGCAACAUUUUUACCUUGAGUCAUGGCAGUUUUAAUCAUGAACAGCUCCUUGUUACUUAUAAAUGUAAGGAAGAAUGUCUUCAAAUUGUUAUGUUCAUGACCAUAGCCUAUCAAGGUUGAAGCAGGCAUGGUCAGAAUUCCCAUGCAACAUCGAGACAAGAAUCCAUCGUACAUAGUCUAAAUUGUACAAGAGGCCAACAGGAUUGAUGACAAGUUUUCAUUCUUCAUUAAGGCAAAAAUAUUUUGUAAUCAAUAACUUUUUACUGCACUAUGCUUCACAAGUAGUAUGAUUGUAUGCUUGUCAACAGCAAGAAAAUAACAAAGUUUGCCGAUCUUGUCACUAUCAUUCCUGUAGGCUUCUCUGAGGAUGAUCCUUUGUUUUUCAACUUUUCCACAAGCUCACAGCAAAUAAUCUUUUUCUUUCCCUUCUCUUUCCCCAAAGAGAACACAGGAAAAUGAUGAUGGCUGCGAUGAUGUAUGAACUUGUAUGCUCAUGUUUUCUGUGUUUCACAAAUGUGCCCCACAUAGCAUAGGUGGGAUGCAUUCGUGUGAUCAUUCACAGCCACAUCCAGAAGACAAAGUUGACAGUAGCGCAAAGUGAUAAGGUCAUGAGAUGGUAACUUUUUCUGGACAUCGAUUUUGCCAACCUUGAACUAGUAGGUUUUUUUGGUUUUACCCAUUCAUGAAGAUACAGAGUUUUUUUGUAGGGGUAGAGCGGAGUGAAUGGAUGGGUGGUGGGCGUAUUGUAGGCUUGGAAGUUAGUUCCACAGUUUUGUUUUGUCCAUCACAAGUCUUCCCAAGUCUGUCACAAAUCAAGCAACAGGUCAAUUUCAAGGCAGUAUUACAGGUCUGGUCUCAAGUAACAUUGGAUGAACAAUGAUAGAGGAAUGCUUAUUGGAAUUGUGGCUUGGCUUGAGACUGGUUGACUUUGUAAUGGAUUUGAGAGAAGUAUAGUGAUUUGGGGUGGACUCGACCACAACUCUUGACUCUUAAAGAGAAGUCUACUUAUUUGACUAAAAUUAGAGAUCAGAGUUUUACAACACACUGUAAACAACAUUUAUAAAAAGGUUUUUCAAAUUAAAGUCACAUGUAGUUUUAAUGAACGGUUGGUGAAUGGCAUGUCCUUUGUGUCUGUUUUGUAAAAAAUUAUCUGUGAAUAAAAAAAAUAUUUACUCGGUCGUUGAGCAUCAUUUUCUCGGUUUUUCAUUUUAAAUGAAUGACUUUCAUUUUGCCGCAUCUUGUACAUAUAGUAAAAUUGUAUGUUACUCUCUGAAAUCAAGAGAGUUCUGUUUUUUUACUGAUGAGUGUUAAGCUACCUGCUCAUAUCAAUGAAUCUAAAUAUUUGUACAGUACAUGUUCAUUGGAAAGACCAAGAUCAUGGAUGAUAGUAGGCGUGUGAGUAAAUACUUACUCUAGGCUAAUUAGGGUAAGAUGGCAGACACUGCCAAACUUUUAACCCGUCGAAGUGAUCGACAGAUAUAUUAAGAACUGUAAUUUUAGUCACAAAAAUUUGACUUUAAACCUGCAAUAAAAUGGAGAUUCCACAAUACGCGCA